AUUGAACGCUGGCGGCAGGCCUAACACAUGCAAGUCGAACGAGUGGCGGACGGGUGAGUAAUGUCUGGGAAACUGCCUGAUGGAGGGGGAUAACUACUGGAAACGGUAGCUAAUACCGCAUACCAUCAGAUGUGCCCAGAUGGGAUUAGCGUUUUGGUGGGGUAACGGCUCCCCAAGGCGACGAUCCCUAGCGGUUCUGAGAGGAUGACCAGCCAACCUGGAACGGGGAAAGGGUCAAGACUCCUACGGGGGGCAGAAUGGGGGAACAUUGCACAAUGGGCGCAAGCCUGAUGAAGCCAUGCCGCGUGUAUGAAGAAGGCCUUCGGUUUGUAAAGUACUUUCAGCGGGGAGGCGUUACCCGCAGAGGAAGCAACGGCUAACUCCGUGCCAGCAGCCGCGGUAAUAC
rnacentral:rRNA from 1 species